GCUCCGGUGGAUUAGUGGUUAGAGCGUCCGCCUCGGAUGCGAGAGGUCGUGGGUUUGAAACCCAACCGAGUAAUAGCA